CGCCACACUGACAGUUUUCUUUCCUUUUCUCUUCUCCCUUCAUCUUCCGCAAGAAAAAUGAAAACAAGUAUUACUACUUUAAACCAACAUUAUCGUCGCUCCGCUUAGUCUGUCGGCUGUUUUCUUACAAGUCUAUCGCACGCCGUCGAACUCCAAACGUUUUUUUUUUUAAUUAUUUUUUUUGUGCGAUUCUGUUGGAUCCUUGCUAAGCUUUCACGAAUUCUCUGCGCGGCAACAUUGUUUUUCUUUCUUUAAAUCCUGAUUUUCCGCAUAGGUCAACGUUUUGUUGUGAGAGUACAAAUAGUAGUGCGACUGAUACCCCCCCCCCCUCCACUUUCCUUUCUCAUCCAAAGUAGAUCGAUUCCAGGCUCUUGAAGAAAAAGAAAAGAAACAAACUUGCAAAUUCUUUUGCCUGCGUGCUUACCGUGAAACAUCCUGCUCGUUCACCCUUACCCUAACAUACGUUUCACGAGUAUUCUAUCUGGUUGUAUGAUUUGUGUGCUUGUUUCCCCCUCAUCCCCCCAUUACUACGAAAUUCAGACUGAACAAAAAUCGGAUACGUUUCUCGCCCUCGGAUCUUCCUCUUUUUCUAAAAUGAUACUGGAUAUCGAUAGGAAGGAAAAGUUCCGUGUGCCCCGGAACCAGUUGAUGCAAAAAC